AGUUGAUCAUGGCUCAGAUUGAACGCUGGCGGCGUGCUUAACACAUGCAAGUCGCGCGUGAAAGGACUUCGGUCCGAGUAAAGCGGCGCACGGGUGAGUAACGCGUGGAUGAUCUACCCAUGAGUUAGGAAUAACGGCUGGAAACGGUCGCUAAUACCAAAUACGCUCCGAUUUCAACUUCGGGGGAAAGGUGGCCUCUGCUUGCAAGCUACUGCUCAUGGAUGAGUCCGCGUCCCAUUAGCUAGUUGGUGGGGUAACGGCCCACCAAGGCGACGAUGGGUAGCCGGUCUGAGAGGAUGACCGGCCACACUGGGACUGGAACACGGCCCAGACCCCUACGGGAGGCAGCAGUGGGGAAUAUUGCGCAAUGGGCGAAAGCCUGACGCAGCGACGCCGCGUGAGGGGAAUGAAGGUCCUCGGAUCGUAAACCUCUGUCAGGAGGGAAGAACCGCCACGGUGCUAAUCAGCCGUGGUCUGACGGUACCUCCAAAGGAAGCACCGGCUAACUCCGUGCCAGCCGCGGC
rnacentral:rRNA from 1 species